AACAUACUCCCUCCGUCCAACAAAAAAUGUCUCAAGUUUGUCAAAAUUUGGAUGUAUCUAGACAUGACUUAGUGUAUAGAUGCAUUCAAAUUUAGUCAAAGUUGAGACAAUCCUUUGUUGGACGGAGGAAGUACAUG
rfam:Brachypodium distachyon strain Bd21 chromosome 3, whole genome shotgun sequence.